AGGGAAUCUUCCACAAUGGACGCAAGUCUGAUGGAGCAACGGCCGCGUGAGUGAAGAAGGUUUUCGGACCGUAAAGCUCUGUUGUUGGUGAAGAAGGAUAGAGGUAGUAACUGGCCUUUAUUUGACGGUAAUCAACCAGAAAGUCACGGCUAACUACGUGCCAGCAGCCGCGGUAAUACGUAGGUGGCAAGCGUUGUCCGGAUUUAUUGGGCGUAAAGCGAGCGCAGGCGGAAGAAUAAGUCUGAUGUGAAAGCCCUCGGCUUAACCGAGGAAUUGCAUCGGAAACUGUUUUUCCUUGAGUGCAGAAGAGGAGAGUAGAACUCCAUGUGUAGCGGUGGAAUGCGUAGAUAUAUGGAAGAAUACCAGUGGCGAAGGCGGCUCUCUGGUCUGCAACUGACGCUGAGGCUCGAAAGCAUGGGUAGCGAACAGGAUUAGAUACCCUUGGUAGUCCAUGCCGUAAACGAUGAGUGCUAAGUGUUGGGAGGCUUCCGCCUCUCAGUGCUGCAGCUAACGCAUUAAGCACUCCGCCUGGGGGAGUACGACCGCAAGGUUGAAAC
rnacentral:rRNA from 1 species